rnacentral:rRNA from 1 species
AGAGUUUGAUCCUGGCUCAGAACGAACGCUGGCGGCAGGCUUAACACAUGCAAGUCGAACGAUAUAGUGGCAGACGGGUGAGUAACGCGUGGAAACGUGCCUUUCACUACGGAAUAGCUUUUGGAAACGAAAGGUAAUACCGUAUACGCCCUCCGGGGGAAAGAUUUAUCGGUGAAAGAUCGGUCCGCGUUAGAUUAGCUAGUUGGUGAGGUAAAAGCUCACCAAGGCGACGAUCUAUAGCUGGUCUGAGAGGAUGAUCAGCCACACUGGGACUGAGACACGGCCCAGACUCCUACGGGAGGCAGCAGUGGGGAAUAUUGCACAAUGGGCGCAAGCCUGAUGCAGCCAUGCCGCGUGAAUGAUGAAGGCCUUAGGGUUGUAAAAUUCUUUCGCCAGGGAUGAUAAUGACAGUACCUGGUAAAGAAGCCCCGGCUAACUUCGUGCCAGCAGCCGCGGUAAUACGAAGGGGGCUAGCGUUGUUCGGAAUUACUGGGCGUAAAGCGCACGUAGGCGGACUAUUAAGUCAGAUGUGAAAUCCCGAGGCUCAACCUCGGAACUGCAUUUGAAACUGGUAGUCUAGAGAUCAGGAGAGGUUAGCGGAAUACC